GCCGUCCACCAUCUCUCUCAGCCUCAUCUCCCUCUUCCCCUUCCUAGAUCGACGCACGAUGCCCUUGCUUCUUCAGCCAACCACACCGCAUCUCCUCCAUCUCCUCCUUUGGGUAAGAAGAGGCUGCCUGUGUGGAUUGGAGUCAUCGCCGAGUCGCUAGAAGUUGCCCUCCUCCAUUCUUACUCGAUCCCAUAUCUGGAUUCGGUGCUGCCUCCGGGUGUGUUAUCGACUAAUCGGUCGACAUGGUAAGGGGGAAGACGCAGAUGAGGAGGAUAGAGAAACUGGCCAGCCGGCAGGUAACCUUUUCCGAGCACCGGAGAGGCCUUCUGAAGAAGGCCUUUGAGCUCUCCGUGCUAGAUUAAAAAGGGGUGUUGUGUCCUGGGAACCUAAAGAUGCUCCCGCUAUGAGUUUAGGAAAUGCAUGAUAAAUAUACCCAAUUAUUUACCCGGUCUUCCAACUUCCAAUCCCGAAGCCAUGGCUUCCUCCUCCAAAGCCCUAGGCGAGCUCCUCCGCUCGCCGAAGCGUCUCCGCCCGAUCUCCCUCUCCCCGGAAUACAUGACCCUCAAAUCCCCCCUCUCCACCCUCCACGCCCCUCCUCUCGCCGCCGGUGAACACCCCUCCGCACUCACGUCGGAGCAGGCGAAGAGGGCGAAGAGGGUCGACGCCGGCCAAUCCCUUUCCCGAUGGAAGCGGAACCUCAGUAUCUGUUCCGAAAGGAUCGCGACAAGGAAAGGUACUCAUUCCGAUCCCUAUGUGAAGCUGGGAGAGCUCUUGGUCGAGGAGACAUGGCUGGAGACUCUCCCCGGCCAGCUUCAGAAACCCUACGCGCAGAACCUGUGCAGGUUUGUGGAGAUGGAGAUGCGCGGCAACGUCCCUAUCUACCCUCCGCCCCACCUAAGAGCUUAUGCUGCUUGUUCGGUUUGGCGGUGUUCAGGAUGAUUGCUUAUGCUGCUUGUUUAGAAGGGUCUGAUCCAGUUCGGCUCUUUGACAAGAGAGUGAACGCGAAAAGAGGUCAUCCUGCUGCAAUACAAUCACAUGAGCUUUGGCGGGGCUCCUGUUGAGGUAGAGACAGAAGAAGAGGCAGAAGAGUUGAUGCUACAAAACGAUAAGGAUUCUGCAAACGGUAAUCAGCUCAAUAGGUUUUAGAAUAUAUAAACAUUUUUGGUUGGCAUCUGUUUAAGCUAAUAAAACCAUUUGGUUGUUGCAUACUUGCAUUGAUGCUUGAAUUGUAGGCCGUGGUCAUCAUUUUCAUAGUUAUUUCAGUAGGUUGAUCAUUGUGAAAACACUAUGGCUUGUGAUCUACGCCUUCGGUAAGUUGAAGAUAAAAUGUAAAUGUGAGUUUGUUACCAGAGAUGAGAGAUUUUUUGUGUCUCCAACUCCACCUGAUGACUAUGACAUUCACAUGGUGCUGAUAUGUGGAUGAUAGAAAUUCUUCUCAAUAGUGGGUUACUGUAAGAAAAUUAUCAGUUAUUUUCAUUUGUUGACAUCAUGCUGCCAGGAAAUUGUUCAUGUUCCCUAGCCAAAACUUGAAUGUAAUUUAUAUACUCAAACUUCGGGACUACUGAUCUGCCUUGUGAAGCUUUUGGUUCUACCUUAUAUAUGGUACCAAGGUUAAUCUCUUCUAAUCAAUAUUGCUAGAAAAAAAUAGCCAUUUCUUCUCUUUCCUGAAAUGCACUAUUUUUUACUUUUAAGAAUAGAACUGACAUGGAAAAGUGUGUUUCUGCGUCUAUUAUAACAUGGGUUGAGAUAGAAGCAUACUGAAACUUCUGUAAGGGUGCAAGCAUGUGUAAUCACUACACACAGAGUUGGGAGAAAUAAUGAUUAUGUUGUUCCACAUCAUUUAUUGUCCAUCUUUUUGACUGUUUAUUGUGCAGUUAUGUAAGUUAAUGCCUGUUAAGGUCUUAGGUGAAAGUUAUCAAAGUUCAUGCUAUCUUUUCCAGCUCUUCAUUUGACUUCCUUUGAUGAAGUCAAGGCAGUCAUUAUUGGACAGGUAGACUCCUUGACCUGAAUCAUUUUGUUAUGCCUCAUUGUAUGUCCUGUUCUUUGAGUUUCUUGUUUCUUACGCAUGCUACAACUUUGACAUUUUGUGCCUCCUGAUUCCCAUUUAUUAACUAGAUGAAUAUCAAGUUUAUUCAUACUGUCAUAGUGUAUUGAUCUAGUAGCAGUGGCUUGUAGAAUGAUGUUGGUCAUUUUAUCUGAGGCCUCCAUUAUUUGGUUCCAUGUAGAAAAUCGAAAAGAACAUGAUUUAAAUUUUGGUUUCUAUGUCUUGCUUUGGUUUGAUGAGUUUGAUAGUUUAAUUAUAUUUGGUUCUUGUUUUUUUUUUUGAAAAUUUUUUUUAACCAAAAAUGCCAAAAUAUAAUUUGUAAUAUAUUUUCAAGUAAAUCCUCAAAGCCUUGUCCAACCAUAAUAAUCUUGUCAAAUUUUAUGAUGCAUGUGAGGAUGCACUUAACGUCUACGUAGUCAUGGAAUUAUGUGAAGGUGGAGAAUUAUUAGAAAGAAUUUUAUCCAGAGGUGGAAGGUACUCAGAGGAGGAUGCAAAAGCUAUAGUUAUUCAAAUACUGAGUGUAAUCGCCUUUUGUCAUCUUCAAGGUGUUGUGCAUCGUGAUUUAAAGCCAGAGAAUUUUCUUUUCACCACUAGAGAUGAAAAUGCUCAGAUGAAGUUGAUUGAUUUUGGCCUUUCCGAUUUUGUUAAACCAGGUGAGCAUUGUUUAGUGGCAUGGUCUAGUUGAUUGCUUUUUUGGUGAUGUUAAACAUGAAAAAUGUUAUCCUAUUUUGUUAUGGAUUCCUUUUGUUGUUUUCUCUGGUACCAUUUGUUGUGAGUUUCCUUUGCCACUGAAGUAUUUGAAUUUGGGAUCGUUUCCAAGGUUUUUCUGAAGUAAAAUUGCUGCUUAGGAUCUCAGCGUCCUAUCAUAAUCGAUGUUUCUGAGUUUUGUGACCUUGUGCCCUAUGAUUACAGUAAUUGGCUAGUUUGCAUCAAGAAAAUUCCCUGCUCUUGAUAAGAAAGAAGACCAUUAAAUAGCUUCCUGAUUGUGAAUACUUCAUUACUUGUAAAUUAACCAGAUAUACACUUUUCAGUUGAUCUGUUACAGUAAAAGCCAGUAAUAGAAACUACUUAACCAGAUAUACACUUUUAGACCCCCAUCUUCAUGCACAUGGCUAACUGUAACCCGCGAGGUCUUCUGACUUUGUGUUUUUCAGUUCAGGGUCUACUAGUUUACUUAUCUCUUCUAGGUUUUGAAGAUACUUUGUGGCCUGUAUAACAUAGAAGAACAAUGAGCCGUGGAUAUAUAGCAUGAAUCUACUAAUAUGAAUCACAAACUGUUGGAUCAAGAAGGAUAUAUCUUGAGACUAGCGAACCCAAAGGGCAAACAAUGUUAUGUCUUUUCCAACUAAUGAUUCUCCAAAGGGAAGAUAAUGUUGAAAGAAACUUGUGAUUUGCAGCGAGGCUAUGGUUUCCUCAGUUGGGAUGUGAUAAGGUAGCUAAAUAGAGGUAAUACAACCUUUAACUUACCCUGACUAUUGUAUGAACUGAUUAGAGGGAUCGUUGAGAAUUAAGCUUCUAAACUACAUGGAACAAAUGAUUAUCGGAAGUUUGUAGGAAAUAAGAACAAAUUUGGGUUUAUGCCCUCAGUAUCUGUUACAAGAAGCUGAUGCUGUUUUUGAGUAUCAAAUAUUUUCAAAUAUGCAUCUUACCCAAUUU